UACGUAGGUGGCGAGCGUUGUCCGGAAUUACUGGGCGUAAAGGGUGCGUAGGCGGAUUUUUAAGUCAGAUGUGAAAUUCCAGGGCUCAACCUUGGAACUGCAUUUGAAACUGGGGAUCUAGAGUGCAGGAGAGGAAAGCGGAAUUCCUAGUGUAGCGGUGAAAUGCGUAGAUAUUAGGAAGAACACCAGUGGCGAAGGCGGCUUUCUGGACUGUAACUGACGCUGAGGCACGAAAGCGUGGGGAGCAAAC
rnacentral:rRNA from 1 species